GGCGCCGUGCCCAAGUGGUUUAAGGGAGCGGAUUGCAAAUCCGUUAUUCAUCGGUUCGAAUCCGAUCGGCGCCU
rnacentral:tRNA from 1 species